rnacentral:rRNA from 1 species
UAAGACGCUGGGGGCGUGCCUAGUACAUGCAUGUCGAGCGGACCGACGGGAGCUUGCUCCCUUAGGUCAGCGGCGGACGGGUGAGUAACACGUGGGUAACCUGCCUGUAAGACUGGGAUAACUCCGGGAAACCGGGGCUAAUACCGGAUGCUUGAUUGAACCGCAUGGUUCAAUCAUAAAAGGUGGCUUUUAGCUACCACUUACAGAUGGACCCGCGGCGCAUUAGCUAGUUGGUGAGGUAACGGCUCACCAAGGCGACGAUGCGUAGCCGACCUGAGAGGGUGAUCGGCCACACUGGGACUGAGACACGGCCCAGACUCCUACGGGAGGCAGCAGUAGGGAAUCUUCCGCAAUGGACGAAAGUCUGACGGAGCAACGCCGCGUGAGUGAUGAAGGUUUUCGGAUCGUAAAACUCUGUUGUUAGGGAAGAACAAGUACCGUUCGAAUAGGGCGGUACCUUGACGGUACCUAACCAGAAAGCCACGGCUAACUACGUGCCAGCAGCCGCGGUAAUACGUAGGUGGCAAGCGUUGUCCGGAAUUAUGGGGCGUAAGCGCGCGCAGGCGGUUUCUUAAUCUGAUGUGAACCCCCCGGCUCACCGGGGAGGGUCUUUGGAAAUGGGACCUGUUGCC